AGUCGCCCGUGACAUCAAGAAACUAGUGAUUAUGCCAAACCACAGGGACAUAUCACAGUUUACUUGCUGUCGCGGGCGGUG
rfam:Caenorhabditis elegans chromosome II